rnacentral:lncRNA from 10 species
GUGGAGGUGAUGCAUUGUACUGGGGGGAAUCCCAUUCUUCCAUUCUGCCGGGAUUCCUCAGAGCCAGCAGUGGAACAGACUAAGUCCACUGAUCCGCAGAGGCUGUGGCUGCCCCUCCCCCAGGGGCUCCGUCCCAGGGAUUUCAGAGUUCUGUAAACCUCUGGCUGGAGUUCCUGAAGUUCCUGCAGAGUGGUCCUGGGAGCGGCAUCACUCCAAUAACACAGCAUCUAGAUCAUGGUUUCUGAAUGACCUUCAACACUAGAAAGAAUUGGGAUUUCCAGGUCCAAGGCAAGAAAAGGGAUUGCAAGGCUAGUUCAUCUGUUGGCAAAUCUCAGAACACAGAAUAUGCCCACCCACCUCCUGAAGACUGGUCUUGACAAUCAAAUCAUAAGGUGAAAACCACGCUAACAUAAUUAGAUUUUCUAGCAAUUCUAUAGAAGAGUGAAAAGAGAUCAGUAGAAGAAAUAACUCAGUAGUCUGGACCUGCUCUCUCCUCAGGAUAUUGAAGAUAAUGAUGGAGAGCUCCAUUCCUGCAAAAAUUUAGCUUCAAAGAGUUCUGCUAAUGGACGAGAUACAGACACCUUCUAACCAGCAGGUGGCAAAGUGGGUUCCAGACACUGAAGUCCUGUGCUGGCAGCUGGAUUUGGAGCCAAUGUGCACAGAAGAGGAAAAGGAAAAAGAGAUGUGUGGGGAAACAACAGCAUCUGCCAAAGAAUGGAUUGAAGAAGAAAAAAGUAGUAAGUUGAAAUUCAGGGGAAUGGAUUUUUCUCCAGAAACAAAUAUAAAAGAAAACUUCAACAAAGGUGGAA